rnacentral:rRNA from 1 species
CAUAGCGACUAUCGUGGCAUAUCAAUAAGCGGAGGAAAAGAAACUAACAAGGAUUCCCCUAGUAACGGCGAGUGAAGCGGGAAGAGCUCAAAUUUGAAAUCUUCAAGGUUUGACCUUGACGAAUUGUAGUUUAAAGAAGUGUUUUCGGUUAGAGGAGUAGUAAAAGUUCUUUGGAAUAGGACAUCAUAGAGGGUGAGAAUCCCGUAUUUGACUAUUCUUUCUAGCUUUGUGAUACACUUUCAAAGAGUCGGAUUGUUUGGGAAUGCAGUCCAAAAUGGGUGGUAAAUUUCAUCUAAAGCUAAAUAUUGGCGAGAGACCGGUAGCGAACAAGUACCGUGAGGGAAAGAUGAAAAGAACUUUGAAAAGAGAGUUAAACAGUACGUGAAAUUGUCAAAAGGGAAGCGUUUGACACCAGUGUUGUUUUUCCGAAAAUCAAUUAAAAAUUGAUUCAUGCCAGGUUGUAUUGACCUUAUCAGCUUGCAAUUUGGUUUUGGGUCUCUUUUUGAUGCACUUUUCGGUUAACAAGUCAACAUCAAUUUCCUUUGCUGUGAAAAAGGUAAGAGGAAGGUGGCUUCAAUUUCGGUUGAAGUGUUUAUAGCCUUUUAUCUCUGCAGUCGGGGAGAUUGAGGUCUGCAGCGUAGAUCCUUCGGGGCUAGAUACAUUUAUGCUAAGUUAUGGCUUUUCAUAGACAACUUGUUGACUAUGUUUAGUCAUGUAGCUUACUCGUAAGUGCUAUUUUACCUACGCUUAGGAUGUUGACGCGCGUGUGUGCGUG